GGGCACAGACACGGGGGCCGCAAGGCUGAGAGGAAGCAUCCGCUUCGACCGUUUGAACGUAUACCGGGUAAUGCCGGCGCACGGACGUCUCUCUUGUUUCCCG
rnacentral:ncRNA from 2 species